GCCUCUGUCCGUCCGCCGUCGCAGAGUCGCCGGGAGAAGCUGCUGCCGCAGCGAGGAGGAACGCCGCCGUCGCCCGCUGCAGCUCGCCGUCGGCCACCGCUGCUGCUCCGUCGCCGUCGGUCGUCGCUCCUGGAGUGGAGGCAACCCAGCCGCUGGAGCGGCCACCCUCCUGCCGUCGCCGGGAGUCCAGCCGCCGGCCAGGCACCGCGCAGCCCCGAACACUCCCGGAACCACCCCGAAACGUCCCGCAAUAUACGUUAUCAUUAUAAAAUAUAGAUUAUACCUCAAACAAAGAUUGAACUUGGUGGUGGAUGAGCAAGAAUGGUAGUAAGGAUUAAUGAGGAAGAUGGAAGGUUUGAAAGGCGA